CCAGCAGCCGCGGUAAUUCCAGCUCCAAUAGCGUAUAUUAAAGUUGUUGCAGUUAAAAAGCUCGUAGUUGAACUUCUGGUCACGGACGACUUUGGCUUCUGUCGAAGCGGACGUGGCCAUCCGUCAGAAAACCAGAGUGGGCCUUCACUGGUCGCUUUGGAGAUCUGACACUUUACUUUGAAAAAAUUAGAGUGUUCAAGGCAGGCUAUCGCCCUGAAUAUACAAGCAUGGAAUAAUGGAAUAGGUCUGGGUCUAUUUUGUUGGUUUAUAGAACCAGAAAUGAUUAAUAGGGACAGUUGGGGCCAUUAGUAUUUAAUUGUCAGAGGUGAAAUUCUUGGAUUUAUUAAAGACUGACUUAUGCGAAAGCAUUUGGCAAGGAUGUUUUCAUUAAUCAAGAACGAAAGU
rnacentral:rRNA from 1 species